UCUGCGUCCCGACCUGAAUGGAGCUCUUAUUUGUGGAACAUCGUGAAGCAAAUAAAGCGGGAAUGGAGGGCGGAAAAAGAC
rnacentral:misc_RNA from 1 species